GUAGGGUGCGAGCGUUAUCCGGAUUUAUUGGGCGUAAAGGGCUCGUAGGCGGUUCGUCGCGUCCGGUGUGAAAGUCCAUCGCCUAACGGUGGAUCUGCGCCGGGUACGGGCGGGCUGGAGUGCGGUAGGGGAGACUGGAAUUCCCGGUGUAACGGUGGAAUGUGUAGAUAACGGGAAGAACACCAAUGGCGAAGGCAGGUCUCUGGGCCGUCACUGACGCUGAGGAGCGAAAGCGUGGGGAGCGAACAGGAUUAGAUACCCUGGUAGUCCACGCCGUAAACGGUGGAUGCUGGAUGUGGGGCCCUUUCCACGGGUCCCGUGUCGGAGCCAACGCGUUAAGCAUCCCGCCUGGGGAGUACGGCCGCAAGGCUA
rnacentral:rRNA from 1 species